rnacentral:snoRNA from 1 species
GUGCACAUUUCAUUGUCAUUUGUUCCUUAUGGUAAGAGAAAAUAUAUUUUUGAUGUGCUAAACAAACAUUUGGAGGUAAAUGAGCAGCAUGACUAAUUAAGUCAUUGCUGUCAGUCACUUUCAGACAAGU